UGAGGAAUAUUGGUCAAUGGGCGAGAGCCUGAACCAGCCAAGUAGCGUGCAGGAUGACGGCCCUCUGGGUUGUAAACUGCUUUUAUGUGGGGAUAAAGUGCGUGACGUGUCAUGCAUUGCAGGUACCACAUGAAUAAGGACCGGCUAAUUCCGUGCCAGCAGCCGCGGUAAUACGGAAGGUCCGGGCGUUAUCCGGAUUUAUUGGGUUUAAAGGGAGCGUAGGCUGUCUAUUAAGCGUGUUGUGAAAUUUACCGGCUCAACCGGUGGCUUGCAGCGCGAACUGGUCGACUUGAGUAUGCAGGAAGUAGGCGGAAUUCAUGGUGUAGCGGUGAAAUGCUUAGAUAUCAUGACGAACUCCGAUUGCGCAGGCAGCUUACUGUAGCAUAACUGACGCUGAUGCUCGAAAGUGCGGGUAUCAAACAGG
rnacentral:rRNA from 1 species